UCAAUUACUACAUUGCAAAAGCCCUAAAAACAGGGUUAUACAGAAAAUCUCAGAUUACAGACAACCAACAGUUUAGUACGUAUUGUUCUUGUGCUGUCCUAAAGGAAUAUUCUGGGUUCGGUACAAGUAAAGCUCAAUCAACAGCAAUGGGGAUAUAAUGUCAAAAAAAUAUAUAUAUUUUGAACAAUACCUCACGGGUUACAGUGAGGGGCCCAAAAUUGAAGUAAAUGGAGUCAAUAAUGGGGACGUAAAUGUUAAAAUAAUCACUGUGUCAACAGUAAAGACACAAGAGAUUUUCAAUUAUUUUAUAUCCUUUUAGUGUGGAGGAAAUUAUUUCUAACCAUUUCUGUGUAAAGUUAUAUAAGUUUGUUUCAACAUGACAACUCUAAAACAACCAUAAAAUGAAAACAAAUAUGAGCUGUAAUGUCAUGAGAACAACUUCACAGUUCAAAUAACACAGAUGUUUUAACAAAUUUGUCAUGCUUACAUGAAGUUAUAAAUUUAACAUCUAAACUGUUAAAGUCUCAAAAACUGGCAAUUCAGUUUGGACAUUUGGAAAUGUCUUACCACAAUCUUAGAGAGAGAGAGAUGGAAAAAUUAUGUUUUGAUAAUCAAAACAAAUGCUGCAGAUUCAUCUUAGCUUGUACAGAACCUGGAAUAUUUUUUUUUUUAUCUGUCUUCAGUUCAUUUAUUAUGUAUAAUGCACUGUGGCUAUACAGCAAGUGCUACGUUGGAAGUUUUGAAUUUGAUGUUGACAAUGAAUUUCAAUAAAAAGAGCAUUGAUA